UGGCUUGUAGCUCAAUGGUAGAGCAGUGCUCUGUUAAGGCAUUGGUUAUAGGUUCAAAUCCUAUCGGGCCAG
rfam:Haliscomenobacter hydrossis DSM 1100, complete genome.